rnacentral:rRNA from 1 species
UACAGAGGGGGCAAGCGUUGUUCGGAAUUACUGGGCGUAAAGGGCGCGUAGGCGGCCUUCUAAGUCGAACGUGAAAUCCCCGAGCUCAACUCGGGAACUGCGUCCGAUACUGGUGGGCUUGAAUCCGGGAGAGGGAUGCGGAAUUCCAGGUGUAGCGGUGAAAUGCGUAGAUAUCUGGAGGAACACCGGUGGCGAAGGCGGCAUCCUGGACCGGCAUUGACGCUGAGGCGCGAAAGCUAGGGGAGCAAACGGG